rnacentral:rRNA from 1 species
UACGGAGGGGGCUAGCGUUGUUCGGAAUUACUGGGCGUAAAGCGUACGUAGGCGGCUUUGUAAGUUAGAGGUGAAAGCCCAGGGCUCAACCCUGGAAUUGCCUUUAAUACUGGCGGCCUUGAGUAUGGCAGAGGUGUGUGGAACUCCGAGUGUAGAGGUGAAAUUCGUAGAUAUUCGGAAGAACACCGGUGGCGAAGGCGGCGACCUGGUCCGAUACUGACGCUGAGGCGCGAAAGCGUGGGGAGCAAACAGG